rnacentral:rRNA from 1 species
UACGGAGGGUGCAAACGUUAUCCGGAUUCACUGGGUUUAAAGGGUGCGUAGGUGGCUUUGUAAGUCAGUGGUGAAAUCUCGGAGCUUAACUCCGAAACUGCCAUUGAUACUGCUUAGCUUGAAUCAAGUAGAGGUGGAUGGAAUAUUACAUGUAGCGGUGAAAUGCUUAGAUAUGUAAUAGAACACCGAUUGCGAAGGCAGUUCACUAUGCUUGUAUUGACACUGAGGCACGAAAGCGUGGGGAUCAAACAGG